rnacentral:rRNA from 1 species
CUACGGAGGGUCCGAGCGUUAUCCGGAAUCAUUGGGUUUAAAGGGUCCGUAGGCGGGAAUCUAAGUCAGUGGUGAAAUCUUGCAGCUCAACUGUAAAAUUGCCAUUGAUACUGGUUUUCUUGAAUUAGUGUGAAGUGGUUAGAAUGUGUGGUGUAGCGGUGAAAUGCAUAGAUAUUACACAGAAUACCAAUUGCGAAGGCAGAUCACUAACACUAUAUUGACGCUAAGGGACGAAAGCGUGGGGAGCGAACAGGAUUAGAAACCCUAGUAGUCC